AAUACGGCUUUGCUGUAGUUUGAUUUUUGUUGUAUUCCUGUUUUUCUUUUCCUUUGAGUUUGUCCCUUGGUCACGCUAUGUCUUUUGACAAUUCUGGGUAACUCCUGCAUAUGCAAUGAUGUGCCUGUACAGCAAGUUGCAAGGAAGAUCCUGUCUAAGUUGUGACUAUCUGGGGUUUUAUAUGUGAGUAUCUUGUUGCUUCUUCCAAUUC